rnacentral:rRNA from 1 species
GGCCAGACUCCUACGGGAGGCAGCAGUGAGGAAUAUUGGUCAAUGGGCGCGAGCCUGAACCAGCCAAGUCGCGUGAGGGAUGACGGCCCUACGGGUUGUAAACCUCUUUUGUCGGGGAGCAAAUUCCGCCACGUGUGGCGGAGUCGAGAGUACCCGAAGAAAAAGCAUCGGCUAACUCCGUGCCAGCAGCCGCGGUAAUACGGAGGAUGCGAGCGUUAUCCGGAUUUAUUGGGUUUAAAGGGUGCGUAGGCGGUCCGUUAAGUCAGCGGUAAAAUGGCGGGGCUCAACCCCGUCGAGCCGUUGAAACUGGCAGACUUGAGUUGGCGAGAAGUACGCGGAAUGCGCGGUGUAGCGGUGAAAUGCAUAGAUAUCGCGCAGAACUCCGAUUGCGAAGGCAGCAUGCCGGCUCCACACUGACGCUGAGGCACGAAAGCGUGGGUAUCGAACAGGAUUAGAUACCCCGGUAA